rnacentral:rRNA from 1 species
GAUGAACGCUGGCGGCGUGCUUAACACAUGCAAGUCGAACGGAAAGGCCCUACUUUCCUGGUGCUCUCGAGUCGCAAGCGUGAGUGUAACGCGUGUGUUAUCUGCCUUACAUUUGGGUAUAACUCGGAGAAUGGGUGUCUUACUGGGUAUGUGACCGCUGCAGGUGGUGUGGUGGUGAAAUUAUUUUCGGUGUGGGAUGAGCUCGCGGCCUAUCAGCUUGUUGGUGGGGUAAUGGCCUACCAAGGCGUCGACGGGUAGCCGGCCUGAGAGGGUGUACGGCGCCAUUGUGACUGUGAGACGGCGCAGACUCCUACGGGAGGCAGCAGAGGGGAAAAUUGCACAAAAGGCGCAAGCCCGAUGCAGCGAGGCCGCGUGGGGGGGGACGGCGUUCGGGGGGUGUACACCUUUCUGGCAAGACGAAGCGCGUGUGGUGACGGUAGUGGGAGAAGAAGCACCGGCUAACUACGUG